ACAUGGAUUUUAUAUUCCAGGGAUACCUAGGCGGGCUGUGGAAGAGAUAACGAGUUUUCGCGCCUUUUUGAAACUAUUUCCGGGAUUGCAACAGCUGUUGGAAGCAGCGCUCGAUUCACAGACACACUGGGAAUUGCGUGAACCAAGGAGAUUUUCUCUCAUUCCUGCAGACGAGGGAGACAGUUUCUCGAUCUCAACCUGGACUGGAACAGAGACCAUCUCACACUUGCAUAAAGGAAAUAGGUGCAUGACACAUCAUGGAUCUCUCAGAGACAGUAAACAUCAACAUCUUCAAACUUGCUUCAGUCUUCCAUGUAAUUUUGGUGUGCAGAGGGGCUUUGUAUGCCAGACCCGGUAUUGUCACUAAUGCUGCUGCAGGACAAACCGUGAUGUUCCCCAUAGAGUACCAAAGCAAUGAAGAUCAGUACGAUGUUACCUUUAGAUCAACAUUUCCACAGCUCUUUAAAAUUUUAAUAUGGAAAUCCAAUAAUCCAGACAAUCUGCAUAUUGUACAUCCACAAUAUAAACACAGAGCUACAAUCAAAAAUGGAUCGGUGGUGUUAUAUGAUAUACAAGUCAGCGACAGUGGAGAGUAUCAAAUACGAACUGACUACUAUGGGGUAGAACUGAAAAACCAUGAUCAAAGUUCUUUCACGAUUCAAGUCUUUGAACCAGUUUCUCAACCUGUAGCAAAGACCUUAAGUCAUGGUCAGAAUACAGCAAAUAUCACUUUGAAUUGCUCCGUCUCCAAUGGAAAUGCAGUCAUGAUUUACUGGGAAAAAAUUUCCUUAUCUGGAGUCAUCAUCGAGACGUAUAUGACCACAAUUCUUGUGAUAGACUGUACUACUGAAGAUGAACAACAUGAGUACAGGUGCAUUGCAAAAAAUCCCAUCAGUAAUGCAUCCAGCAGUGAGAUAUCUAUCAACUCGUGUAACACCAGAAAUCUGAACGGAGUUAGUACAUUCUUCCCGUGACCGUGUGGGUUUCCUUAGUGCUCCGGUUUCCUCCCGCAUUCCAAAGAUGUACAUUUAUGGAUUGUGAGUUGUGGACUUGAUACAUUGACACUUGUGGGCUGCCCAGCACAAUCUUCGCAGAUUUGAUUUGGCCCAGACGACACAUCUCACUACGUUUCAGUAUAAAAGGAAUUAUCUUAUGAUCCUGAUUCCUUUGGUGAUGAUGGCAAUUUCAUUGUUUGCAUUUGCAAAAUACAUCUCUAAUUGAUGUUCGAAUGACCAGUCCUAAUGCUCGAUGAUCGUCUCCAAGAAUUACCUGGAAACACUCACAUUCCUGCACAAAAUUCGGCAGCCUUUACUGGAGUACUACAGACCAUACUUGCGAAUGACAGCUCAUUUCUCUAUAGCAUCUCUGGCUUACCACAAGCAUGACCAACUGGUAGCUGAUCCAAACAACAAAUUCCCAAGGCUUAAACUUGCAAGGAAACCAGGACACCUCAUAACACCUGAGUAUAGGUUGGAGGUGACAUGACCACCUGCUCAUGGAAUAUGAAAAAUUGUGUUGUUUCUGACAGUGGUCACCCAAACACUGCACUCCUGCCCUCCGAGUUUCAUUUCUGUGAGCAUCCCUGCUAUAUACAUGGCCUCCUCUGUAUCUAUUACAGUUAAAAACAUAAGAAAUAGGAGCAGGAGUAGGCCAUCUGGCCCGUCGAGCAUGCUCCCCCAUUCAAUAUGAUCAUGGAUGAUCUGGCCAUGGACUCAUCUCCAUCUACCUUCCUUUUCCCCUUAACCCUUAAUUCCCCUACUAUGCAAAUAUAUAUCCAACCUUGUCUUAAACAUAUUUACUGAGGUAGACUCCAUUGCUUCAUUGGGCAGAGAAUUCCACAGAUUCACCAAUCUCUGGGAAAAGCAGUUCCUCCUCACCUGCAUCCUAACUCUAUUCCCCCGUAUCUUGAGGCUAUGUCCCCUAGUUGUGUAUUUCAGAAAAGAAAAAUGGGUCAUAGAUCCUUGCAAACAGAACAGCUGAUAUGGAAAAUCAUUACACAGAAGACCAAUUACACACCAUUUUUUUUAAAGUUUCAUAUUUUCCACAACAAAUCUAACAGCAAUAAAAAUUUGACAUUGAAGUUCAAUGCAUUGGCACAUUUUGAAAGCCAUGUAGGACCCAACCUGCUUCCUAUACUUGAUCUCAUGUCACUUUACUUGUUGCAGUUCUGAACUUUCACGAACCUCAGCACUUCAAUUCCAUGGUUGUUUCACAAUCAAACUGAAAUGUGAGUGGUGUCCAGAUUAGUAGUAAGUACGCUGAUGUCCUGACCCUGACACUCAAAGGCGGCUCCAGCUGUUUCAUUGUUCUUCAAUAUGUUGGAUAAUGAGAUAUAUUCCAAACAACACUGGCAAAGAAAUGAUUCAUUUUGAACUGAUAAAUGCUUAAAACAAACUACUUUUAAUUAUGUUCGAACAAAAAUAAUUUUACCUCUACUUUAGUUGAGGUGGGCAAUGUAAUUGACAAAUCUGACCGUAAUAAAUGUAGAGCUUUAAGAUAAUUACAGGUUAGAUGUAGCACCUUCACUGCCGUAUAUGUUAUUGUAGAAUCUAUUUUUGGGAAAUCAAUUUCAUGAACCUAAUCAAUUACAUUCACUGGAGUAGAUGGAAACUGAUAAAGUGGAGAAAAUCUGCUGCUGCUGGAAAUCUGAACAACACACACAAAGUGCUGGAGGAUCUCAGCAGACCAGGCAGCAUCUAUGGAAAAAAGUACAGUCGACAUUUCGGGCUGAAAUUGAUAAAUGUUUUCCAAUGCCAGGGAACAGUUUUACAGAAUUGAAAGAAAAGCAGAAAACAGAAUGUCAAACAUUGAAAGGGCCAGACAACAUUUUUGUAGAGGGUGGAAUCUGUGGGAAAGGAGAUUUGGAGAGUUUCAACCAAGAGGCUUUGUGGUUGCCUUUCCUUGAUGCCUGUGGUGAAAGGGAGAGCAGUGACAAAGUCAAUAUUCCAGAGACAGUCAUGCAGUCAAUCCCUCCCCCACAAACAACUCCCAAAUGAUCAGGCAACACUGGCAGAGGUGAACUUUGACCUGUAUAGGUUUGUUUUCUAAUUGGACGAGAGGUUUGACUGUCAGUGCAAGGCCAUAGCUCCCAUAAUGGUUGGUUUAGCGCCAGUUUAUGCUCAGAACUCACAGAUGAGGGGAUUGUGAGCUGGGAGCUCCAGGCUAGACCAUGGUCUGCUCAUGUUUAAGCACAGUCUAUGAGCGCACAGGAACAGACCUGCCCAGGACAAUCACGGCAUGUUGGCCAGCAUCCCACAGAACGUAGAGAACAGCACAAACACAAGAAAUACUUUGUCUUCAGUGAGUAUUUUGUAUGGACAAAGGUAAUAACUACAUAAUAAAAUCAAAACUUUGGAUUUCUAUGGUUACACAUGACAAUAAAAAACAGACAACAAUGGUUCAUUGAUUUUUUUUUUGCUUCAUUGCAAGCUCCAUGAAUUAAUUUACAACGCCAGAGGAUAAAGUGCAAGGAAUAAAAUCCCUUAGAAGUGGAGCAGAGAUAAAAAGCACCCGCAUCUCAAAAGCCUCACCCAGUCACAAAGGAAGUAAACAGUUUGGUGGGAAUACUGACUAAAUCAGAUA